rnacentral:rRNA from 1 species
AUUGAACGCUGGCGGCAUGCUUUACACAUGCAAGUCGAACGGCAGCACAGGGAGCUUGCUCCCGGGUGGCGAGUGGCGCACGGGUGAGUAAUACAUCGGAACGUGUCCUGUUGUGGGGAGUAACUGCUCGAAAGGGUAGGCUAAUACCGCAUGAGACCUGAGGGUGAAAGCGGGGAGUCGCAAGACCUCGCGCAAUUGGAGCGGCCGAUGCCCGAUUAGCUAGUUGGUGAGGUAAAGGCUCACCAAGGCGACGAUCGGUAGCUGGUCUGAGAGGACGACCAGCCACACUGGGACUGAGACACGGCCCAG